rnacentral:rRNA from 1 species
AGAGUUUGAUCAUGGCUCAGGAUUAACGCUGGCGGUAUGCCUAACACAUGCAAGUCGAACGGAAUACUAAUUAAGAGAAUCUCACACUAGUGAGAGGUUCUCACGAGUAGUAUUUAGUGGCGGACGGGUGAGUAACACGUUGGAACCUGCCCCGAAGUGGGGAAUAACUGCUCGAAAGAGUAGCUAAUACCCCAUAGUAUCCGGUUUAUCCGGAUUAAAGAUUUAUCGCUUCGGGAGGGGCCUGCGUCUGAUUAGCUAGUUGGUGAGGUAAAAGCUCACCAAGGCGACGAUCAGUAGCUGGUUCGAGAGGAUGACCAGCCACACUGGGACUGAGAUACGGCCCAGACUCCUACGGGAGGCAGCAGUGAGGAAUCUUCCACAAUGGACGAAAGUCUGAUGGAGCAAUACCGCGUGCAGGAAGACGCUUUUCGGAGUGUAAACUGCUUUUGUCGUCGAAGAUUAUGACUGUAGACGAAGAAUAAGGACCGGCUAACUACGUG